rnacentral:rRNA from 1 species
AAACUUUCAACAAUGGAUCUCUUGGUUCCGGCAUCGAUGAAGAACGCAGCGAACUGCGAUAAGUAAUGUGAAUUGCAGAAUUCAGUGAAUCAUCGAGUCUUUGAACGCACAUUGCGCCCCCUGGCAUUCCGGGGGGCAUGCCUGUCCGAGCGUCAUUGCUGCCCAUCAAGCCCGGCUUGUGUGUUGGGUCGUCGUCCCCCCCGGGGGACGGGCCCGAAAGGCAGCGGCGGCACCGUGUCCGGUCC